UGGCUGCAGAGACUACAAUACACUCUACACACAAACGCCUAUCAAAACAGAUCUUCUAUCUAAGCUCUCGUAUGUGUGUAGUGUGUGCCCUUUACAAAGUGUGUAAUGUGGGUAGUUGUAGUUGUGUGUUCAAAAUGAAACACAAAGCCUCUAUUUAUAGACUUUGGGGAACAAACUCAGCUUGUGCUUGCGCUUGGCGCAAGGAAGCUCUCCACCAAUCAGAAUAUAGCUACCUCGUUCCAUCCUUCCUCGUUCCUCCUUUAACUUGCGCCAAAACAAUUCAAAAGAAUUGUUUAAAUGAAUCAACCGGCGCAAGGAAGAAAUUAAACAUGAAUUCCUUCCUCGUUCCAGUUGAAACAAUUCAAAAGAAUUGUUAAUAUGGAAAUUGGCGCAAGGAACACUGCACUUGGCGCAAGGAGAGAUUUUUAAU
rnacentral:lncRNA from 1 species